rnacentral:lncRNA from 1 species
UUUUGUGAAGUGGUUUUCUGUUCUGGGUAGAAGAGAGAUUAACACAGAGUGUGGAUGUGUUCAGCCAAGAGGGUUGAACAGAGGGUGUUCUCUUGAAGACAUGAAGAUGAGUCUUAUGUUUUCCAUUCAUCAAGUGGUCUGGGUUCUCUUUGAAUCAGGAAUUAUGUGAAGGUCCAACUUUGGGGUGUUGGAUAUGUUCAUGUGUGAUCUCCAAGUU